AGUGAACGCUGGCGGUAGGCCUAACACAUGCAAGUCGAACGGCAGCACAGGAGAGCUUGCUCUCUGGGUGGCGAGUGGCGGACGGGUGAGGAAUACAUCGGAAUCUACUUUUUCGUGGGGGAUAACGUAGGGAUACUUACGCCAAUACCGCAUACGACCUACGGGUGAAAGCAGGGGACCUUCGGGCCUUGCGCGAUUGAAUGAGCCGAUGUCGGAUUAGCUAGUUGGCGGGGUAAAGGCCCACCAAGGCGACGAUCCGCAGCUGGUCUGAGAGGAUGAUCAGCCACACUGGAACUGAGACACGGUCCAGACUCCUACGGGAGGCAGCAGUGGGGAAUAUUGGACAAUGGGCGCAAGCCUGAUCCAGCCAUACCGCGUGGGUGAAGAAGGCCUUCGGGUUGUAAAGCCCUUUUGUUGGGAAAGAAAUCCAGCUGGCUAAUACCCGGUUGGGAUGACGGUACCCAAAGAAUAAGCACCGGCUAACUUCGUGCCAGCCGCCGCCGUAA
rnacentral:rRNA from 1 species